CCUACGGGAGGCAGCAGUGAGGAAUAUUGGUCAAUGGCCGGGCGUCUGAACCAGCCAAGUAGCGUGAGGGAUGACUGCCCUAUGGGUUGUAAACUUCUUUUAUAAGGGAAUAAUAAAUUCCACGUGUAGCAUUUUGUCUGUACCUUAUGAAUAAGGAUCGGCUAACUCCGUGCCAGCAGCCGCGGUAAUACGGAGGAUCCGAGCGUUAUCCGGAUUUAUUGGGUUUAAAGGGUGCGUAGGUGGUUUUUUAAGUCAGUUGUUAAAAUGUGUGGCUUCACCUUAGAAUUGCCGUUAAAACUGGAAGUCUUGAGUUCAGUAGAGGUAGGCGGAAUAAGUGAUGUAGCGGUGAAAUGCUUAGAUAUCACGUAGAACUCCGAUUGCGAAGGCAGCUUACCAGACUGCGACUGACGCUGAGGCACGAGAGCGUGGGUAGCGAACAGGAUUAGAUACCCUAGUAGUC
rnacentral:rRNA from 1 species